AGCGAACGCUGGCGGCAGGCCUAACACAUGCAAGUCGAACGAAGUCUUCGGACUUAGUGGCGGACGGGUGAGUAACACGUGGGAACGUGCCUUUAGGUUCGGAAUAACUCAGGGAAACUUGUGCUAAUACCGAAUGUGCCCUUCGGGGGAAAGAUUUAUCGCCUUUAGAGCGGCCCGCGUCUGAUUAGCUAGUUGGUGAGGUAAAGGCUCACCAAGGCUACGAGCAGUAGCUGGUCUGAGAGGAUGACCAGCCACAUUGGGACUGAGACACGGCCCAAACUCCUGCGGGAGGCAGUAGUGGGGAAUCUUGCGAAAUGGGCGAAAGCCUGACGCAGCCAUGCCGCGUGGAUGAUGAAGGUCUUAGGAUUGUAAAAUCCUUUCACCGGUGAAGAUAAUGACUGUAGCCGGAGAAGAAGCCCCGGCUAACUUCGUGCCAGCAGCCGCCGUAAGAC
rnacentral:rRNA from 1 species